rnacentral:lncRNA from 10 species
CUGGGUGUUUGGGGCUGGAGACAGGGUCUCUGAAGCCGAGGCCUGAGUGUCUGGGUCCCUGAGAGCGUGCAGGGAUUGGGGGACAGGGAUUCAAACACUUACUUGCUUCCCAGCUCCACCACUAACUGCAGUGUGACCUUAAACAAACCACUUUACUUCUUGAAGCUUCCGUGUCCUCAUGAGGGAUACGGAGAAGGCCCAUGGAAUUGUUACAAGGAUUAUCUUGGCUUGGUGCCUGGUACGCUGGAGGCACUCAGAAAUGGUAGUUCCCGGCCUGACUGGAACCAGACUUAGAACCAGGGUCCUCGCGGGAGGCUAGGGAGAGUUCAAGGCUGGGGUUCUAGGCCGGGCAAUGGUUCACACCCGUAAUCCCAGCACUUUGGGAGGCCAACUUGAGCCCAGGAAUUUGAGAUCAGCCUGGGCAACAUAGACUCUGUCUCUACAAAAAAUAGAAAAAAUUAGUCAGGCAUGGUGCACUCGCUUGUGGUCACAAUUCUCGGGAGACUGAGGUGGGAGAAUCGUUUGAGUCCAAGAGGUCGAGGCUGUAGUGUCCCGUGAUCACGCCACUGCACUCUAGC